AGCCUGAACGCUGGCGGCGUGGCUAAGACAUGCAAGUCGAACGGGUGUAGCAAUACACCAGUGGCGGACGGGUGAGUAAUGAAUCGCUAACGUACCCUUAGGCCUGGGAUAGCCAGUUGAAAGAUUGGGUAAUACCAGAUGAAACAACUUCUUCGCAUGGAGAGGUUUUCAAAGCCGCAAGGCACCUUUGGAGCGGGCGAUUUUGUAUCAGCUAGUUGGUGAUGUAAUGGCUCACCAAGGCGACGACGCAUAGCCGGACUGAGAGGUUGGCCGGCCAUAUUGGGACUGAGACACUGCCCAGACUCCUACGGGGGGCUGCAGUAACGAAUCUUCCGCAAUGCACGAAAGUGUGACGGAGCGACGCCGCGUGUGGGACGAAGUUCUUCGGAAUGUAAACCACUGUCAGGGGUAAGAAAGUUCUGAUCUACCCCAGAGGAAGGCACGGCUAACUCUGCGCCAGCAGCCGC
rnacentral:rRNA from 1 species